AUACGGAGGGUGCAAGCGUUACUCGGAAUCACUGGGCGUAAAGCGCGCGCAGGCGGCUUGAUAAGUUGGAUGUGAAAGCCUACGGCUCAACCGUAGAACUGCAUCCAAAACUGUCAGUCUAGAGUGUGGGAGAGGAAGAUGGAAUUAGUUGUGUAGGGGUAAAAUCCGUAGAGAUAACUAGGAAUACCAAAAGCGAAGGCAAUCUUCUGGAACACUACUGACGCUGAGGCGCGAAGGCGUGGGGAGCAAACAGGAUUAGAAACCCCUGUAGUCC
rnacentral:rRNA from 1 species